CCUACGGGGGGCUGCAGUCGAGAAUCAUUCACAAUGGGGGAAACCCUGAUGGUGCGACGCCGCGUGGGGGAAUGAAGGUCUUCGGAUUGUAAACCCCUGUCAUGUGGGAGCAAAUUAAAAAGAUAGUACCCCAAGAGGAAGAGACGGCUAACUCUGUGCCAGCAGCCGCGGUAAUACAGAGGUCUCAAGCGUUGUUCGGAAUCACUGGGCGUAAAGCGUGCGUAGGCUGUUUCGUAAGUCGUGUGUGAAAGGCGCGGGCUCAACCCGCGGACGGCACAUGAUACUGCGAGACUAGAGUAAUGGAGGGGGAACCGGAAUUCUCGGUGUAGCAGUGAAAUGCGUAGAUAUCGAGAGGAACACUCGUGGCGAAGGCGGGUUCCUGGACAUUAACUGACGCUGAGGCACGAAGGCCAGGGGAGCGAAAGGGAUUAGAUACCCCUGUAGUC
rnacentral:rRNA from 1 species